rnacentral:rRNA from 1 species
AGAGUUUGAUCCUGGCUCAGGAUUAACGCUGGCGGCAUGCCUAAUACAUGCAAGUCGAACGAGAGUAGCAAUACUCUAGUGGCGAACGGGUGAGUAACACGUAGGAAACCUACCUCAAAGACGAGGAUAACUACUGGAAACGGUAGCUAAAACUGGAUAGGAUAUACAAAGGCAUCUUAGUAUAUUUAAAAGUCCUUCUGGGAAUGCUAUGAGAUGGUCCUGCGGCGCAUUAGCUAGUUGGUGAGGUAAAGGCCCACCAAGGCGACGAUGCGUAGCUGUGCUGAGAGGCAAAACAGCCACACUGGGACUGAGACACGGCCCAGACUCCUACGGGAGGCAGCAGUAGGGAAUUUUCGGCAAUGGGCGAAAGCCUGACCGAGCAAUGCCGCGUGAAUGAAGAAAUUCUUCGGAAUGUAAAAUUCUGUGGUGAGGGAAGAAAGGUAUUAGAAGGAAAUGGCUAAUAUUUGACGGUACCUUACUAGAAAGCCCCGGCUAACUAUGUGCCAGCAGCCGCGGUAAUACAUAGGGGGCAAGCGUUAUCCGGAAUUAUUGGGCGUAAAGCGUGCGUAGGCGGCCACUUAAGUCUGUCGUGAAAGCCCACAGCUUAACUGUGGAGGGUCGAUGGAAACUGAGAGGCUUGAAUCUAGGAGAGGUAAGUGGAAUUCCAUGUGUAGCGGUAAAAUGCUUAGAUAUAUGGAGGAACACCAGUGGCGAAGGCGGCUUACUGGUCUAGAAUUGACGCUGAUGCACGAAAGCGUGGGUAGCAAACAGGAUUAGAUACCCUGGUAGUCCACGCCGUAAACGAUGAGCACUAAGUGUCGGACGUAAGUUCGGUGCUGAAGUUAACGCAUUAAGUGCUCCGCCUGGGGAGUACGGUCGCAAGACUGAAACUCAAAGGAAUUGACGGGGACUCGCACAAGCGGUGGAGCAUGUGGUUUAAUUCGACGCAACGCGAAAAACCUUACCAGGCCUUGACAUACCGAUGACGUCUUUAGAGAUAGA